rnacentral:lncRNA from 12 species
GGAAUUCAUAUCCUAUGCUACAACAUUAGUGGAAAGGACAAAAAUCUUGAGGAAAAAUAGUGGAAACAAAUCCACACCGAAGGAGAAAGAUUCGAUUCUAAAGAAUUAAGAAAAGGCAGAGCAGCAGUGAGGCCCAUAAUCAGUAUUCAUGUCAUAAAAGCAAACAAACCCAUUCCUGCUAAUGGCUCCAGGCAUCCCCUGUGGGCUGAAUGCCCAAAAAAGUGAGACAUCCCCAUUCCUACCUCAGGAGAUCAGGGCUGCUUAGGGUGGAUGGAAAACAGGAUGAGCUAAAUAUUAACAUCUCAAGAAAACAAAAACCACGGGAGAGCAGUGAUGGUCCCCUUACCCUACUGAGUGCUUUAAUGGAGAGGUUUAGAUUGUCUGGGUGAAUCACUGUUAUUUAUUGCCUCGGAGCUCCAUGGUUUAAUCUGACAGGGAAGGGCUGAACGCUCCUAUUUCCCUCCUAGCAUCUCUCUAACAGCUGUAAAAAUUAAUACAGGCAGAAUUGUGGCAUUAAAGCAUCAUCAGUGAGCUGGAGCAGGCAGGGAUGGAGCACCAGGGAUGGAUGGAGCAGGGAUGGAGCAGGCAGGGAUGGAGCAGGGAUGGAGCAAGCAGGGAUGGAUGGAGCACCAGGGAUGGAGCAGGCAGGGAUGGAUGGAGCAGGGAUGGAGCAGGCAGGCAGGGAUGGAGCAGGGAUGGAUGGAACAGGCAUGGAUGGAUGGAUGGAUGGAUGGAUGGAUGGAUGGAUGGAUGGAUGGAUGGAUGGAUGGAUGGAUGGAUGGAUGGAUGGAUGGAUGGAUGGAUGGAUGGAUGGAUGGAUGGAUGGAUGGAUGGAUGGAUGGAUGGAUGGAUGGAUGGAUGGAUGGAUGGAUGGAUGGAUGGAUGGAUGGAUGGAUGGAUGGAUGGAUGGAUGGAUGGAUGGAUGGAACAGGGAUGGAGCAGGCAGGGAUGGAUGGAGCAGGCAGGGAUGGAGUAGCAGGGAUGGAUGGAGCAGGCAGGGAUAGAGCAGGGAUGGAGCAGGCAGGGAUGGAUGGAGCAGGCAGGGAUGGAGUAGCAGGGAUGGAUGGAGCAGGGAUGGAUGGAUGGAUGGAUGGAUGGAGCAGCCAGGGCAGGCAGACCGUGAGCAUUUAAAGGUGAAGAAUGGGCCGUUCACGCCGCUUAGAAAUGCAAAUAUCGCGCCGGAAAAGUCAGCGGCAGCUGCUCGGAAAGAAAAAGCUUUUCUUAAGAGCUCAUCCUUUCAUCAGCACCGCAGAGCAUUAGCCACGCAUUCCAGAGCCUUCAUCAAGCCAUGAAAAUCUGCUUGCACCCAGGCACAGACCGGGAAUUUUUGAAUAGAAGAGCAAUUUUUGCCCUCAGAGACCUCCUUUUCCAUUUUUUUUUUUUUUUUUUU